rnacentral:tRNA from 1 species
UAGGAUGAAAUCAAGUUUGAUAUUUCAUUUACAAUGUAAUGUAGCUUCAUAGCCGUUCUAA